rnacentral:lncRNA from 1 species
UGUUAACAAGCAGGCGCCGGUCUCAGCCCAGGCAAGGGAUCACCGCGUCUCGUUGCCGUCGUAGGAGCCGAGAACGAGAGGCCCAGACCUGCCGACGCCUGGCCAGCUCUGUCCGAGCAUGGACAUACCUGGCUCUAAACCCUUGCCUCCGCCUGGGUCAGCGUAAGGACAUCCUGUGACUUUCUCGAGAAAAAAAACGCAGCGUGGAAAUGAACGGUGGAACGGGCUUUCGACUCCAGAUAUGCAAGAACUGGAACCAAGAGGGCGCCUGGGGCGUGGAAGGCGCUGGGUUCGACGUGACCUCCCUCUCCGAACGAACGGG